rnacentral:misc_RNA from 1 species
AAGUCGUAACAAGGUUUCCGUAGGUGAACCUGCGGAAGGAUCAUUAUUACGUAUCCACGUAUCAAACCAAAUCGUGAACUGUUUCCCGUCUGAUGAGGAUUUCUGCGAGUGUUUGAACAUUUAUUAAAUGCAUGGUGAGGACUCCUAGUCGCAAGAUUGGUUUCUUCGAAAUGGCACUCGGUCCUGGUUGCCCUCUCGGGGCUUCAGCCAGCUCAUUAGAUGUGGUUGAAUUUCAAUCACUAUGCUAAAACUAUUAACCCCUUGUAAAACACUUGAACUAAAUUACGGAGACAAGACCCUUAACCAGGAAACUAUCUCUGAUAAACCGAAACUUAAGAAACAACUCUUAACAACGGAUAUCUUGGUUCUC